rnacentral:rRNA from 1 species
GACGAACGCUGGCGGCGUGCUUAACACACGCAAGUCGAGCGGUAAGGCCCUUUCGGGGGUACACGAGCGGCGAACGGGUGAGUAACACGUGGGUGACCUGCCCUCAGCUCUGGGAUAAGCCUGGGAAACCGGGUCUAAUACUGGAUAUGACUCCAUGACGCAUGUUGUGGGGUGGAAAGCCUUGUGCAGCUGAGGAUGGGCCCGCGGCCUAUCAGCUUGUUGGUGGGGUGAUGGCCUACCAAGGCGACGACGGGUAGCCGGCCUGAGAGGGCGACCGGCCACACUGGGACUGAGACACGGCCCAGACUCCUACGGGAGGCAGCAGUGGGGAAUCUUGCGCAAUGGGCGAAAGCCUGACGCAGCGACGCCGCGUGAGGGAUGACGGCCUCGG